rnacentral:rRNA from 1 species
AAUGGGCGCAAGCCUGAUCCAGCCAUCCCGCGUGCAGGAUGACUGCCUAUGGGUUGUAAACUGCUUUUGUAUGAGAAGAACCUUGGGAUUUAUCCCGAGUUGACGGUAUCAUAAGAAUAAGCACCGGCUAACUCCGUGCCAGCAGCCGCGGUAAUACGGAGGGUGCAAGCGUUAUCCGGAAUCACUGGGUUUAAAGGGUGCGUAGGCGGCGUAAUAAGUCAGAGGUGAAAGUUUGCAGCUUAACUGUAAAAUUGCCUUUGAUACUGUUAUGCUUGAAUUAGGCUGAGGUCAGCGGAAUGAGUCAUGUAGCGGUGAAAUGCAUAGAUAUGACUUAGAACACCAAUUGCGAGGCAGCUGGCUAGACCUAUAUUGACGCUGAGGCACGGAAGCGUGGGGAGCGAACAGGAUU